CGGGCCACCCUGGGCAGCUGCCCGGUCUCUGACGGUGCAUCUCCGUGGACUUCUAAUGGAAGAAGUUGGUUCAACUAAGAGAUUUUCGGGCAAACAGUGAUUAAUUUGGCCUUAGUUAGUUCCUACCCAGGCUGAAAGAAUGGGUUAGCUCCACCACUGUUUUGAUGGUUGUGGUUAAAAUCAGACAGUUUAGAGUUCAUGGUCGGAAAGUUGGUCAUAUGUAAGGCAAAACAGAAAAACAGGGAAAUUGAUCUCCAUGGGGUAAUUAUGUUUCAGUGCACUUGACAUGUCCAUCAGGGGCAGUAUUUCUGUUGUUCACUUUGAACACUUGAUAGAUAUUUGAAGGUCCUGACAUAUCACAAUGACUUUGCUCUGUCUGGCCAAAUCAUAUUUGGUACUAAUCCCAAGAAAGUUGAUCCGCAUAAUCACUCAGAAAUUAUAAUUUCAUCUUGCAGUGCGGACAGCAUGGUGCCUGCCAAAAAUGAUUUGCAUGAGUAAUCAUGCUUUAUAUGUAUUACAACUUCUUAUAUAUUAGAAAAAUACAUCGUACAUCAAAAACAGUUUCUUAUGUCCAUGCAUGUGGUGACUGUUAUUUACACAUACAUGCAUCCUUGAAACAGUUGGUUCUUUUAGGUCAUAAUGUUCUUUUGAGCUAGCUAACAAUCUUUAUCCUAUUUUUUCCUUGCAGCAAGUACCUGAAAAUGCAGUUUUUGUGAUGGGAGAUAACCGAAAUAAUAGUUAUGAUUCCCAUGUGUGGGGCCCUCUUCCCGCAAAAAAUAUAUUGGGAAGAUCUAUCUUUCGGUACUGGCCUCCUGGCCGAAUAGGGAGUACUACCAUUGAUUGCGGUGGCCCCGAAACAAAACCAGAUUCACUCAUUGAUGUCAAGUUGACAAAGUAGAAGUUUCAAUCAAUUAACGCCGGUGCGAAGUUCAAACUUCACACCAGCACCAGUUUUAGAUAGUAACUAUUUCUAUUCCCUGGAAAUUGAUAGAGGAAUGCGUUUGGCAGCGGGUCUUCUAGAAAUCAGAAAGGAGGGGAACAGGCCUGUUCCUCAUGAGAUUAGUAAGGAUGGUCGGUAGCACAGAAACCAUUUUGCUCCAAGGUUUCUGCUUGCUUUUGCCCCUUGUAUGUAUGUAUGUACAUUAAGGAAAACUGUUGUUUAUACUCUGGAUCAUAAUUGGAAGGUUCUUAAUUUUGAUCCUAUUAAUGCAGAAAAAUGUUUACACUC